UCUACGAGAUCCUCUGGAAUCUCGCCGGAAUCGUCGUUCUGCUCUUCCUGGAGCGCAAGUGGACCCUCGUAAAGCGGACAAUAUUCGGCGUAACCUUGCCACUUCCGUCCGGGGAUCCGGUGCCGCGCCUGCAGUGGGGCAAGGUGUGGGCCCUGUAUAUGAUCUGGUACGGAAUCGGCCGCGCCUUCUUCGAGUCGAUCCGCAUCGAUCCCAGUGAAGUCCUGUGGGGAAUCCGCACGAAUGUGUGGGGAGCACUCGCUGCGAUCCUGCUCGGGAUCGUGCUUUACAUGGUCCAGCGGCGCCAUCAU
rnacentral:misc_RNA from 1 species